AUUGAACGCUGGCGGCAUGCUUUACACAUGCAAGUCGAACGGCAGCGCGGGCUUCGGCCUGGCGGCGAGUGGCGAACGGGUGAGUAAUGCAUCGGAACGUGCCCAGUAGUGGGGGAUAGCCCGGCGAAAGCCGGAUUAAUACCGCAUACGACCUGAGGGUGAAAGCGGGGGACCGAAAGGCCUCGCGCUAUUGGAGCGGCCGAUGUCGGAUUAGCUAGUUGGUGGGGUAAAGGCUUACCAAGGCGACGAUCCGUAGCUGGUCUGAGAGGACGACCAGCCACACGGGGACUGAGACACGGCCCAGCCCCCUAGGGGAGGCAGCGGGGGGGAAUUUUGGAAAAGGGGGGCAACCCUGACCCAGCCAUGCCGGGGGGGGGAAGAAGGCCUUCGGUUUGUAAACCGCUUUUGUUGGGGAAGAAAUCCUCUGGGCUAAACCCCCGGGGGGAUGACGGUACCGGAAGAAUAAGCACCGGCUAACUACGU
rnacentral:rRNA from 1 species